rnacentral:rRNA from 1 species
AUUGAACGCUGGCGGCAGGCUUAACACAUGCAAGUCGAGCGGAGAUGAGGUGCUUGCACCUUAUCUUAGCGGCGGACGGGUGAGUAAUGCUUAGGAAUCUGCCUAUUAGUGGGGGACAACAUUCCGAAAGGAAUGCUAAUACCGCAUACGUCCUACGGGAGAAAGCAGGGGAUCUUCGGACCUUGCGCUAAUAGCUGAGCCCAAGUCGGAGUAGCUAGUUGGUGGGGUAAAGGCCUACCAAGGCGACGAUCUGUAGCGGGUCUGAGAGGAUGAUCCGCCACACUGGGACUGAGACACGGCCCAGACUCCUACGGGAGGCAGCAGUGGGGAAUAUUGGACAAUGGGGGGAACCCUGAUCCAGCCAUGCCGCGUGUGUGAAGAAGGCCUUAUGGUUGUAAAGCACUUUAAGCGAGGAGGAGGCUACUGAGACUAAUACUCUUGGAUAGUGGACGUUACUCGCAGAAUAAGCACCGGCUAACUCUGUGCCAGCAGCCGCCGUAAAAC